UACAGAGGGGGCAAGCGUUGUUCGGAAUUACUGGGCGUAAAGGGCGCGUAGGCGGCCUUCUAAGUCGAACGUGAAAUCCCCAGGCUUAACCUGGGAACUGCAUCCGAUACUGGUCGGCUUGAAUCCGGGAGAGGGAUGCAGAAUUCCAGGUGUAGCGGUGAAAUGCGUAGAUAUCUGGAGGAAUACCGGUGGCGAAGGCGGCAUCCUGGACCGGCAUUGACGCUGAACAGCGAAAGCUAGGGGAGCAAACGGG
rnacentral:rRNA from 1 species